AGAAAGGGGAGAAGCGAUGCUGGUGGAAGUCUGUCAAACUGCAUUCCGAUCUCCUGGCGUUACUGCAAUAUACCCCCUCCGUUUCAUAAUAAGUGUCGUGGUUUUAGUUCAAAUUUGAACUAAAACCACGACACUUACUAUGGAACCGAGGGAGUAUAUUGUUAUAUUUACUUUACUACUUGCGACUUGCUAUUUACAAUAAGAACCUGCAAUAAUGGUUUAAGAACUAGACUUGUCUUUAUCGAGAAAAGAUCCUGGCCUAUAUAUGGUCGGGUUUUCUUUACUCUCUGCAACUUUCAGCUUAUAGUAAAAACUUGUGUUGUAAUAAUGGUUCAAGAACUAAACCUGUUGUUGUCGUCGUCGUCGUUGUUGUUGUUAUAAAAACUUGUUUUAAUAAUAUGUUCAUGAAAUUCUUAUUGACAUGUUAAAA
rnacentral:lncRNA from 1 species